rnacentral:rRNA from 1 species
CCUACGGGCGGCUGCAGUGGGGAAUAUUGGACAAUGGGGGGAACCCUGAUCCAGCCAUGCCGCGUGUGUGAAGAAGGCCCUCGGGUUGUAAAGCACUUUCAGUGAGGAAGAACGCCUGGUGGUUAAUACCCAUCAGGAAAGACAUCACUCACAGAAGAAGCACCGGCUAACUCCGUGCCAGCAGCCGCGGUAAUAUGGAGGGUGCGAGCGUUAAUCGGAAUUACUGGGCGUAAAGCGCGCGUAGGUGGCUUGAUAAGCCGGUUGUGAAAGCCCCGGGCUCAACCUGGGAACGGCAUCCGGAACUGUCAAGCUAGAGUGCAGGAGAGGAAGGUAGAAUUCCCGGUGUAGCGGUGAAAUGCGUAGAGAUCGGGAGGAAUACCAGUGGCGAAGGCGGCCUUCUGGACUGACACUGACACUGAGGUGCGAAAGCGUGGGUAGCAAACAGGAUUAGAUACCCUAGUAGUC